rnacentral:rRNA from 1 species
AUCCUACGGGGGGCAGCAGUGGGGAAUAUUGCGCAAUGGGGGAAACCCUGACGCAGCAACGCCGCGUGCGGGAUGAAGGCUUACGGUACGUAAAGCUCUAUCAGCAGGGAAGAAAAAAAGUCCUUUGGACUUUGGACGGUACCUGACCAAGAAGCCCCGGCUAACUACGUGCCAGCAGCCGCGGUAAUACGUAGGGGGCAAGCGUUAUCCGGAUUUACUGGGUGUAAAGGGAGCGUAGACGGCAGCGCAAGGCUGGAGUGAAAUGCCGGGGCCCAACCCCAG